GAGGCAGGAUGAAGAUGACUGUGGAUUUCGAGGAGUGUCUGAAGGACUCGCCCCGCUUCAGCUUGUGAAACUUUGUAUUGCAAUGAUUGAUACUGGAAAAGCCUUUUGUGUUGCAAAUAAACAGUUCAUGAAUGGGAUUCGAGACCUGGCUCAGUAUUCUAGUAAUGAUGCUGUCGUUGAGACAAGUUUGACCAAGUUUUCUGACAGUCUUCAAGAAAUGAUAAAUUUUCACACA
rnacentral:lncRNA from 1 species